AACUAGCACCAUCCCAUUCUGAAGACACCAAUCUCAUCUGAUGUUCAAAAGCUGAGCAGGAGCAGGGCUGGUUAGUACUUGGUUGGGUUGACACUAGGGAACAUCUAGUAUCUCUAGAUA
rnacentral:rRNA from 1 species